GAAGUUUGCGUUUAGAGUUAAAAACUUGUUCACAUUAGCUAUGUCAUUUUAAAAAAAAUAUUGGGUUGAUUGCAGGUAGUGAAAGGUGUGGUUUCAGCCAUAGGAGCUAGUAAAGUUGGCGUCAGGAUAUCUCCAGCAAUAGACCAUCUCGAUGCAACUGAUUCUGACCCACUCUCCCUCGGGCUAGCCGUGGUUGACUUGCUCAACAAGUUACAGGACGAUACUGGCUCCAAGCUCGCUUACCUUCACGUAACACAGCCUCGGUACCACGCUUAUGGGCAAACAGAAUCUGGAAGGCAAGGCAGUGAUGAGGAAGAAGCUAAGUUAAUGAAGAGCUUGCGUACGGCUUACAAUGGGACAUUUAUGUCUAGUGGAGGUUUCAACAAGGAACUUGGUAUGCAAGCCAUUCAGCAAGGGGAUGCUGAUUUGGUCUCCUUUGGCAGGCUGUUUAUUGCAAACCCUGACUUGGUUUCGCGGUUUAAGGUUGGUGCGAAGUUGAAUAAAUAUAAUCGGAAGACGUUUUACACUCAAGACCCCGUUGUUGGCUACACAGAUUAUUCCUUCUUGGCUCCAGCUUCUCGCCUCUGAGUUUGAGAAACGAGGAGAAGAUUUAUAGAUAUCUACAUCAAUUCAUUGAUGUUAUUUUGUUUAUUGAUGUUAUAGUAAACCAAUAAAUUCUCCGUAAAAUGACAAUGGUAAUCAUAUAGUAUAUAUAUCCUGUGUGGCCUGCUUGUUCGUGUUUCAUUGAAUCGUUAGUGGUUGCCUUUUUGUUUUGCUUUGAGAGCAACAUGUAUUAGCUAAAGUCUUGAACCAGUGGUCUUAGUCAUGUUUCCCCACCGCAUAUUCGCUCUCACUCCGUCAGUUUAGGAGUCUUACUUUUGGCACAGAGUUCUUGUGUCUCCGGUAUCCUGUCGCUUCAUGUUUGUCUUUGAUGGCCUCGGUUUAAGCGGUAAAAACCGACGAGGCUUUGUUCCUUUAGAAUGGUUCCAGUUUGAGUAAGUGGUUCUUCUCAUCUCCAGGAGGUUUAUUCUGUCAAGCUGCGGGUUGGUUUGGGUUUGGAGGGAUUAACCCUUGGUGUGAAAUCUUUGUUAUGGUCUUGAUGCUUGCUUCUGGAUUCGUUGGCUUUCUCAGAUAGCGCCUUUAAGGCUCUUGGCUUCCCUAACAGUUAUGUUGAUGCUACUUUGUGGAAGUGUGAUUCUGGUGAAGGAUUUGUGUCUUUAAGGUUUAAGGUUUAGUUUGUGUUGUAAUGUCUCCGAGAUGGUCGGCUUGUGGCUCCAGUUUAUAUCCGGCCUAGUUUCUCUUUAAGCUCUUUGUAGUCUAGCUUGGUGAUACAGUUCGUCCUAGUAUAGGAUGUGAUGAUUGUGUAUUGAACUCUUGUUCUUUCUUUGUUUAAUCCCAAAGAAAUGAGUAUUGAAAAUGAUUUUCUCCCAUGGAUAAGAUAUCAACAUUUGAUCCGGUUAGGCAGGCAAGUAUUAGAACAGAAUGAAAACAACUUGAACAAAGCCGUCUAUGAAACCAUAAACAUGUAAAGUGGUUCAAUUACAAAGUAGAAACUUGCAAACUUCAAUCAUUAGAGAAAUAGUGCAGCAGUUAUUACAUAUCAGCUAAAGUGACAAACUAGAAACAUAACAUGUUCUCUUGAAAGGGAAAGAAAAUACAAAGCCGAUGGGGAUCAUAUGCUCUAUUCGUCGAUCAAAGACCCUACUUGUUGAGGUCUUUGAAAACGGGGCUGUCCAGAGCAACACCCAUUGAAUUCAAGCCAUUGUCCACAUAGAUGGUUGCACCAGUUAUAGCAGAGGCCAAUGGAGAUACCAAGAAGGCCGCUGCAUUCCCAACUUCAUCUGCAUCAUCAUAUUCCUCUUUUGUUUAAUAAAAUUUCCAAAGAAAACUGAAAGCCAACAAGAGAAUGCUUGUAUAGAAGGAAAAUGAAUGAACCUGCGGUCAGUGUUUUCUGAAUAGGCGCGUUAUUGUAUGAAUACUCAAUCAUUGUGUCUAUGAACCCAAUUGCUUUUGCUGCUCGGCUUCCCAAAGGACCUGCAGAGAUAGUGUUGACCCUAAUGUUUUGUUUCCUUCCAGCUUCAAAUGCAAGCACACGUGUAUCACUCUCUAGUGCGGCCUUGGCAGAACUCAUACCUCCACCAUACCUAACAACAUAAAUUAAAAGAGACAUUUGUAAUCAUCUAUUGAGAAACAAAACAAUGUUGUGACGCUAUAGUAUAAACUCUUACCCGGGAAUGAUCCUUUCAGAGGCAAUGUAAGUAAGAGAGAUAGAAGCACCUCCUAAAUCAUAUCAUAGAGAAACAAAUAAAAUUAAAAAAAAAAACAAAUAAUUAUAAAAGAAGAAGAGGAGGCAUACAAAGUUUAGUUACAUGCCUGGGUUCAUAAUUGGGAGAAAAUGGCUGAGGAGGGAAACAAAGGAGUAGCUGGAAGCAGAGAUAGCAGCAAGAUAGCCUUUCCUCGAUGUCUCCAGUAGAGGUUUGCUAACCUAAAAAAUAUCAGAAGAUCUCCCAUUAGGCAAAACAGAAUAAAGUUCUUGCAAAACAGUUUCAGAUAGAGUUCUUGCCUCUGGUCCAUUUGCAAGUGAGUGGACAAGAAUGUCAAUGCUUCGAAAAUCUUGUCUCACACAUUCUGCAGCUUCCUGUACAGUCCAGUGUGAUGAUCCAGCAUAUCGCUUAUUCGCUUUCACCUGGAAAAAUAAAAUGUAUCAUAACUAAUUUGGAUAUUAAGGGUUUUAAUAUGAUAGUGAAAGAUGUAUUCUCUCACGUACAUCUUCAGGGACAUCAUCAGGAGUGUCAAAGACAGCAUCCAAAGGAUAAACCUUUUUAAUCUCCAUCAAUGAUCCGUCUGGCAACCUGAAUUUGAGAUAUUAGAUGAUGUGGAAAAACAAAAGAAACAAAGAGUUGAUCAGUUUUUUUGUAAGUCCUUACACGCGUGACUGGUCGAAUUUUCCACGUCUCAAGCUCGUCUCAAAAAUGUUAAGCGCCUAGUAGACCACUCACAGGUCAGAACAUGAAGAAACUAAAAGUAGUAAUACAAAAAAAAAGGAAACUUACAGGAACCCAAGUGCCAACCAAAAUUUCAGCACCAGCAGCAGCAAGAGAUUUGGCUAUGGCCCAACCAUAUCCAUUAUCAUCAGCGAUACCAGCAAUGAAAGCCCUUUUCCCUAGAAACCAUUUAACGCAGUUGAUUUAAUCCAAACAGCUCACUGUCUUGUAAAUAGCAAUCAAUCUUAGUAAUGAUGAUUAAGAUAUGACUACAUAGUAACCUCUCAAAUCAAUGGGAAGUCCAGAAGAAGCCUUGCUUUCGCUGGAUUCAGACAUGGCCUUUGUCGAAAAGGAAAAACUCUUUUUAGAAGCUGGAAGAGCACUGUUGUUUCUCAAACAUCCCAGGUUCGAUAGAUGGCGAGUGGAAGUGAGCUUAUCCCAUGAUGCGUUCCCGUGAUUGACACCGACAAUCCCUGCUUUAACAACUUUGCUAGAGGCAGCAGAAAUGCUUGGCCUUGUUGUAGCCAUUUGCAAGCUCGAUGCUGCUGAUGUUGCCGCCAUCCUCGCAAUAUUUCAAAUAUUUUCUGUGCAAAAAAAAUGUCAGAACAUGUAAAGAAGACCAAUGAGCUUUCUUUCUAACAAUCCAAGUUAUAAUAAUCUGCACAAAAUGCAGAUCGACACAGACAUUGGAGAAAUAGAAUUGAAAAUGUCCUGCAUUUAUAAAAAUGAUUUGAUUUAUAAUACGCAAUCCAAGUUCACAUUGACAUAACAAAGAAAACAAAUGGCACAAGUUCUGGAUUUUUCGCAGCUUAACGUCAGAGAAAACUCAAUUGACUGAGAUAAUUAAAAACCCAAAACACAUCUGCAUUUUUCCAUCAAACAAACAGAGAACCAAAGAGAGAGAGGGGGAGAGAUAGAUACCUGAUAGAGCCUAGAGAGAGAAGAGAGAAGAGUAGGUUUGCUUUGGUGUGAAGUGGGGUAUGUAAGGGGAGCGGGUUCGAUGAGAUCGAGGUGUCUGUUGUGUCUGGCGAAGUUAAGAGGUUGAUUGUAUGUGGUUUUUGUUUUAGUUUUUGGUUUUUGUAAACAAAAACCAUUUUUCAUCCAAUUAAUUUUUAGUUUUUAGUUUUGUUUUUGUAGAAAUCAUUUGAUUUGCCAAUCAAGAUUUUUAAUAAAUAGAUUUCUUAAAAUUUAGGGAAACUAGUUUUUGAAAAAUUUAACCAAUUUGUGAAGAAAAACCAAAAACCAACUUUUGUGAGCUUUUAAAAGGAAAAACGAAUUUUGAUUUUUUUUGGAUAGAAACUACAAUAUUUAAUUAAUUAAUAAUUAAUAAAUAACAUUUUUAUAAAGAUAAAUAAUCAUACAAUUUUUGGUACAUUAGCUAUAAUUUAAACAAUAAUGUGAUAUAACUUAUUUGUGUUUAAUAUCUGUAAAAUAAAUUUAUAUAGUUUAUAAAUAAUAUUAAUUAAUUUUAAAACUUAGUUAUUAAUUUCUCUAUAUAAAAUAAUAGAAUAAUUUUAAUAAUUACUAGUCACAUUAAAAAUAACUAAAAUUAUAAAAACAUAAUAUGUUUUAGUAAUACAAUAUAUUGUAUUAGUCAUGAAAAAUAAAAAUAGCCAUUCAAUUUUAAGAAAAUAUAAAUAAUUUAUAUGAGAAAUUUUAUAAUUAGUUUCAAAAUUUUAAGUAUUUUUAUUUUUAUAUAAUUUAUAAUAUUUAAAAAAAAUAUUGCUAUAUAAGUUUAUAAAAUUAAAAAUAAUUUAUAUAAGAAAAAUUUCUAAGUAGUUUCAAACUUUUAAAUAUUUUUAUUUUUUUGCAAUAUAUAAAUUUUAUGAUAAAUAUUUUAUUAUAAUAUAAUUUUUAAUAAAACUAUAAUAAUUAAAAUAUGUUAUUAUAUUUUAAUUUAAAAUAAUUAUCAUAAUAUUUUGACAAUUUUAAUUGUAAAUAUAAAUAUUUAUUUCUAUUUUGUUGUAUUAUUUCAAAGUAACUCAUUACUUAAUUUUUGCAAAAAUAAAAAAAAUACUGCAAAACCAAAAACCAAAAUCUAAAUCUAAAAACUAAAAACUAAAAACCAAAAACUGAAAACCUAAAACCAAAAUCUAAAAACCAAAAACUAAAAUCUAAAAACCAAAAACUAAAACUAAAAACUACUGAAACAAUCAUCACCUAAGUGAGAAGUUUUUUGUCCCAACUAGACAAACCGGAUCGGUUUCGUCACAAACCGGAUAUUCAAGGUUUAACCGUAACCUCUUUCGGAUCUUUUAUUUUUCGGGACUAUUACACAAUUUUUUUUAUUUAGGCCUUAUUGUUUGACUAAUUUUCUGUUUUUGGUUUUUUCAGAUAUUGGUUUUAAAAUUUCAAACUAUUAUUUUAUGUUUUGUUUUUGUUUUUGUUUAAUUUUUAUUUUAAAUUUUGAGUUUUUUAUUUUUUGGUUUUUAUACUAAAGUAUAAAAAAUUUUAGAUUUGAUUUUGUUGUAAAAUCAUACCAAGUUUGAGGUGAUUCGUAUUAAAAUGAGAAAUUCAUGUUAUUCAAACGUAAAUUUUAAAAUUGAUUUCAGUGUUAUUGAAUUUAUCAUUUCAUAAAAUAUUUUGGAAUCUAUUAUUAUUAAACAAAAUUUGAGUUGUAGAUUUAAUAACACUUUAAGUGUCUUUAGAGUAUUUGAGAGGUGAUUUUCUCCCAUGGAUAAUAUAUCAACAUUUGAUCCGGUUAGGCAAGUUUUAGAACAGAAUGAAAAUAACUUGAACAAAGCCGUCUAAGAAACCAUAAAACAUGUGAAGUGGUUGAAUUAAAAAGUAGAAACGUGCAAACUUCAAUCAUCAGAGAAAUAAUGCAGCAGUUAUUACACAUUCGCUAAAGUGACAAACUAGAAACAUAACAUGUUCUCUUGAAAGGGAAAGAAAAUACAAAGCCGAUGGGGAUCAUAUGCUCUAUUCGUCGAUCAAAGACCCUACUUGUUGAGGUCUUUGAAAACGGGGCUGUCCAGAGCAACACCCAUUGAAUUCAAGCCAUUGUCCACAUAGAUGGUUGCACCAGUUAUGGCAGAGGCCAAUGGAGAUACCAAGAAGGCCGCUGCAUUCCCAACUUCAUCUGC
rnacentral:lncRNA from 1 species